rnacentral:rRNA from 1 species
UACGGAGGAUGCAAGCGUUAUCCGGAAUGAUUGGGCGUAAAGCGUCCGCAGGUGGCUGUGUAAGUCUGCUGUCAAAGAGCGAAGCUCAACUUCGUAAAGGCAGUGGAAACUACACGGCUAGAGUGCGUUCGGGGCAGAGGGAAUUCCUGGUGUAGCGGUGAAAUGCGUAGAGAUCAGGAAGAACACCGGUGGCGAAGGCGGAUCUCUGGGCCUUACCUGACGCUGAGGCGCGAAAGCCAGGGGAGCAAACGGG